rnacentral:rRNA from 1 species
GUGCCCUACGGGACGCAGCAGUGAGGAAUAUUGGUCAAUGGGCGCAAGCCUGAACCAGCCAAGUCGCGUGAGGGAUGACGGUCCUAUGGAUUGUAAACCUCUUUUGUCGGGGAGCAAGGCCCGCCACGUGUGGCGGGAAGGAGAGUACCCGAAGAAAAAGCAUCGGCUAACUCCGUGCCAGCAGCCGCGGUAAUACGGAGGAUGCGAGCGUUAUCCGGAUUUAUUGGGUUUAAAGGGUGCGUUGGCGGACGGUUAAGUCAGCGGUCAAAUGUCGGUGGUCAACACCGGCCUGGCGUU